UACGUAGGGUGCGAGCGUUAAUCGGAAUUACUGGGCGUAAAGCGCGUGUAGGCGGCUCUUCAAGUCGAGUGUGAAAGCUCCAGGCUUAACCUGGGAAUUGCGCUCGAUACUGUUGAGCUAGAGUGUGGAAGGGGCUACUGGAAUUCCGUGUGUAGCGGUGAAAUGCGUAGAUAUCUGGAGGAACACCGGUGGCGAAGGCGGCAUCCUGGACCGGUAUUGACGCUGAGGCGCGAAAGCUAGGGUAGCAAACGGG
rnacentral:rRNA from 1 species